rnacentral:rRNA from 1 species
UCCAACUUGAGAGUUUGAUCCUGGCUCAGAGCGAACGCUGGCGGCAGGCUUAACACAUGCAAGUCGAGCGGGCGUAGCAAUACGUCAGCGGCAGACGGGUGAGUAACGCGUGGGAACGUGCCCUUUGGUUCGGAAUAGCCCUUGGAAACGAGGAGUAAUGCCGAAUGUGCCCUUCGGGGGAAAGAUUUAUCGCCUUUAGGUGAGCCCGCAUCGGAUUAGCUUGUUGGUGAGGUAAUGGCUCACCAAAGCAACGAUCCGUAGCUG